rnacentral:rRNA from 1 species
UGGGGAAUAUUGCACAAUGGGCGCAAGCCUGAUGCAGCCAUGCCGCGUGUGUGAAGAAGGCCUUCGGGUUGUAAAGCACUUUCAGCGAGGAGGAAGGUGGUGAACUUAAUACGUUCAUCAAUUGACGUUACUCGCAGAAGAAGCACCGGCUAACUCCGUGCCAGCAGCCGCGGUAAUACGGAGGGUGCAAGCGUUAAUCGGAAUUACUGGGCGUAAAGCGCACGCAGGCGGUUUGUUAAGUCAGAUGUGAAAUCCCCGGGCUCAACCUGGGAACUGCAUUUGAAACUGGCAAGCUAGAGUCUCGUAGAGGGGGGUAGAAUUCCAGGUGUAGCGGUGAAAUGCGUAGAGAUCUGGAGGAAUACCGGUGGCGAAGGCGGCCCCCCUGGACGAAGACUGACGCUCAGGUGCGAAAGCGUGGGGCAGCAAACAGGAUUAGAUACCCUGGUAGUCCACGCUGUAAACGAUGUCGAUUUGGAGGUUGUGCCCUUGAGGCGUGGNUUCCGGAGCUAACGCGUUAAAUCGACCGCC